CCAUCCAUCUCCCUCCCACAGUCACCCUCUAUAAUUACGGUGGGCCUGCCUUCCCUCCAUGCCAUAUUCUCCUCAUUACUUUGCACAUUACAAUGUGUGUGUAGUGUGUUUGUGUGUGUGUGUGGUGUGUUUGUGUGUGUGUGUAUGUGUGUGUGUGUGUGUGUAUGUGUGAGAGAGAGAGAGUGUGUGUGUGCUUAUCGAAUACCCAGACAACACCAGCCCCGCUCCUUGGUAAUCUCACUCUACAUCAGCUGUCACCUUUUCUGAGCUGAAACAAAAGGCUCGGAGAACACACACACACACACACACACACACACACACACACACACACACACACACACACACACACACACACACAAUACACACAAUAAGGUGUCAGGGUGUCUGGCAUGACACUGAAGGUAUCUUUGUUGUGAUUGUGAUUAACAAGUUAACCUGCUACAUGAGGUAAAAAUGACAAACUUCUAUAUAUUUAUACACACACGGGGAUUCUUAUGCUCAGAAUAAGUUUGGUCUGUCAGAUUAACACAUGUGAACGAGGGACGUAGUGGAGAACAAAUCCACUAAAACUUCAUAUGAAAAGAUGCUAGUUGUAUAACUUUUUGACUCUGAAACCUAACUUCCCAUGAAUCUUGAUUAAGAGUCAGUGACAUCCCUGGAUAGCAGCAAUUAACUAACAUGAAGUUGAAAAGUGUUACAAAAGUGGGUCUGGAAUGAAUUUCAUUGUACAAUAAAACCUGAUUUCUGCCAUAAAAGCAAUUCCACAGCUAUCUCCUUCAAUAAUAUGCAAAGCAGCUGCUCUUGUGUGUGCUCCAAUAAUUUCUCUCUGCAGCAUGAGUACCUGCUACAGCACUGGGUGGUAAAAUCUGAACAUCUCAUUAACAUAAAACAAUUAUUAUUUUGAUAGCGUUCAACAACUACAGCUCCCAUGAGGCUUUCUGUUCAGAGUUUCUGUGAGUAAGACUCAUGGGGGAUGUUGCUGUUGACUAGGAUGAACCUUUGCCAUCAGCACAGAGCCUCACAGCAGCUUUAUGUGUUGAAUAGUAAUAAAAUAAUCAUUGCUCUAUAAUGAAACUUCACUACCCAGUAGACUUAGAUACUAAUUUAGAUUAGGAUAUGGACAGAGAACUAAGUGGUGGGUGAAAAAAAUCAAUCAAUUUUGUAAUAAUGUUGGUUAAUAAUGUUAUAAUGAAAUGGAAAAGGUGGACCAGUGCAACAGCUCCCAUAUGCUACAGUUAUCUUGUAGUUCAUUUUCAUUUUGGAUGCAAUAACUUAAUAAAAAUACCUUUGUAUAGCUCUCCAUUACCCAGAGACUAACGUUAGCAGUUGACUGACCAACUCCCACUGCAGCACUUUACAAAAUAAAACUCUGACUCGGUCCACGUUCUGUUUCAUGUCAAUAGUCCUGCGUUCAUACAGCAUUUUGGAUAACGUUGCUUUCACAGAACCAGCUGUGCAGCAGAGAAGCUGCUCUCUGCUGCUGGAGACAUGAAGAGAUGAAGGUCUGCUUUUUUUUUUAAAAAAAAAAGAAGAGCUGCAUACUCUCAAGUGACCUUGAUCGAGUUACGGUAUGUUUCAUAUUGCAUUUCAGUGGACUAAAGCCACAAGCGAAUGGUUUUCACACAGCGCGCUGGAGUGAGAGCCUUAAAAAAUCGUGCUCACCUUUCAAUUUAUUCUAUCGAGAAUCGGUUUUUGAAUCAAAUUUGUCACGGCUACAACCUUGUGUCUAGUUUCCUCUUGUUCGCCCUCCCCCUGUGCUCUUCCCCUGUUUGUCUCUCAGUGUACGUGUGUGUCUGUGUGGCGUGGGUGUGUGGCGCUCCUUCCCGGACUCUCCUGGCUCCCUGGCUACGUGCUGAUCGCACACACCUGUCUUCCAUCAUGCUCGUCAUCCUGCAGCAUAUGUACUUCACCCACUCAUCGCUGGGUCCUCGCUUCAGCUGCGUGCUCCUGGAUCACAACCCGUCUGCCUGCCUGUCUGCUUGCUCGCUCACUCACUCUCCAACCCAUUACCACCUGCCACCAUCUGAUAACCUUACACUAUUUCCCCCUCAUUCAUCAUCGUCCUCCAGUCCACUGCCCCUGCCAGCUUCUCCUCUGUUCCUUCCACCUCCAUCCCUCACAUACUGGCAAUAAAAGCUCUUAAUCAUCUCCA